UACGUAGGGGGCAAGCGUUGUCCGGAUUUAUUGGGCGUAAAGAGCGUGUAGGCGGCUUUACAGGUCCGUUGUGAAAACUCUAGGCUCAACCUAGAGACGCCACCCGAUACUGCGAUGACUAGAGUCCGGUAGGGGAGACUGGAAUUCCUGGUGUAGCGGUGAAAUGCGCAGAUAUCAGGAGGAACACCGGUGGCGAAGGCGGGUCUCUGGGCCGAUACUGACGCUGAGGAGCGAAAGCGUGGGGAGCGAACAGG
rnacentral:rRNA from 1 species